rnacentral:rRNA from 1 species
AACGAACGCUGGCGGCAGGCCUAACACAUGCAAGUCGAGCGAACCCUUCGGGGUUAGCGGCGGACGGGUUAGUAACGCGUGGGAAUAUACCCUUUGGUACGGAAUAGCCUCGGGAAACUGAGAGUAAUACCGUAUGUGCCCUUGGGGAAAGAUUUAUCGCCAAAGGAUUAGCCCGCGUUGGAUUAGAUAGUUGGUGGGGUAAUGGCCUACCAAGUCUACGAUCCAUAGCUGGUUUGAGAGGAUGAUCAGCAACACUGGGACUGAGACACGGCCCAGACUCCUACGGGAGGCAGCAGUGGGGAAUCUUAGACAAUGGGGGCAACCCUGAUCUAGCCAUGCCGCGUGAGUGAUGAAGGCCCUAGGGUUGUAAAGCUCUUUCAGCUGGGAAGAUAAUGACGGUACCAGCAGAAGAAGCCCCGGCUAACUCCGUG